CACUUUUCCUCCUUCAGCAGCUCUGCCACCUUCAAAUCCCAGCCAGACACUAUCAAGCAGGAAAAGAGCUACCAGAGACCACCUCUGAGGAGGAGUCAAGCUCAGCAUCCAGGGGCAGCCGUGCCCCGCUCCCCACUUCCUGACGGCAGCAGGUCCACAAGGAGGCCCCCACCACUGCAGUGAAGCGGGGAGGGCUUGGUGAGCCCCAGCCUCACCAGCAGCUCCCCGGCAGGAUCAUGCUGCCAUUCUCGUUGCCCCUGUGCCCCACCAUGGCCUCCAUAGAAGGUGUGUGGACAUUGUCUGCCUUUUUGGAACUUGGAUCUGAGUGGACCUGGGUUCCACUCCUGCGAUGUGACAGUAGGAAACAGAUGUGAUGACCAGAGGUGCAGCAGCCACCAUGUGACCAUGAGGAGGACAUGUAUAGCUAUGACAGAGCAGGAAAACAGAGAUCCCACGUCCCCAGGGACAUCUUUGAGCUACUGUAUCAGCUCAGGACUGCCUUCUCCCAGACUUCUUAUUGGACAAGCCAAAUAAACUCCUCCUUUGUUUAAGUCUCUCUGCAGGCAUUUCCUGUUACUUACUGCCUAAUAUGUUCCUAGCUGAUGAGAUUCAACCAUAAGCAGUUUGGCUCCAGAGCCCCUGAUCUUAGCAAUCUUGUCCUCCCUGUCACUGAGUUUGUAGAAGACAAAUUUGAAGGCUCUUCAUGCCAUAACUUAUUUUGAAAGACAUUUUUUAAGAGUAGUUUUAGGAUCACAUCGAAAGAAAAAGAUACAGAGAGUUCCUAUAUACCCCUGCCCCCUACAUUCACAGCCUCCCCAUUAUCAACCCCUGCACCAGAGUGGUACAUGUGCUACAAUCAAUGAACCUACAUUGACACAUCAUUAUCACCCAAAGUCAUAGAUUACACUAGGAUUCACUCUUGGUAAUAUACAUUUUAUGGGUUUGGAUGAAUGUACAAUGACAUGUAUCUACCACUGUGGUAUCAUAUAGAGUAUUUUUGCUACCCUAAAAAUCUGCUGUGCUCUGCCUAUUCCUCCCUCCCCCUCACCCCCUAAACCCUUGGCAACCCCUGAUCUUUUUAUCGUGUUCAUAGUUUUGCCUCUUCAGGGAUGUCACCUAGUUGGAAUCAUACAGUAUGUGGCCCUUUCAGAUUGGCUUCUUUCACUUAGUAAUAUGCAUUUAAGGUCCAUCCAUGUCUUUUUAUGUCUUCAUAGCUUAUUUCUUUUUAGCACAGAAUAAUAUUCCAUUGUCUGGAUGUACCACAGCUAUUUACCCUUCAUUUACUUAAGGGUAUGUUGGUUGCAUCCAAGUUUUGCAACUAUGAAUAAAGCUGCUAUAAAUAUCAUGUAUAAG
rnacentral:lncRNA from 10 species